CUGUUUUAAGUUUAGACCAUAGGAGUAGAGAAUGGUAUUAAAUUGCAAAUCUAUUUUUAAAUGAUAAAUUGUUAAUUCUUUCCCACUUCCACGGUCUAAACUUAAAACAG